AUGGCCAUGGCGGCGCUGCGUGAGGCCUCCCGCCGCCUGGCCUCCAUCUCCACGUGGAGCCCUGCCGGCGCCGCCACGCGCCCGCUGCUCCUCACGCACUCUCGCGGUAUCACACACAAGCUCUUCAUCGGAGGCUUGUCACAAUUUGCAACGGAAGACAGCCUAGCAGAAGCUUUCAUGCGUUAUGGCCAAGUAUUAGAAGCAACCAUUGUCACGGAUAAGAUGACCAGCCGAUCAAAAGGAUUCGGCUUUGUGAAAUUUGCCUCCGAGGAAGAGGCCAGUAAAGCACGGGAAGAGAUGAACGGCAAGGUACUCAAUGGGCGAGUUAUAUAUGUCGACAUUGCAAAGGCCAAACAGGACCGUGCUGCAGACGUAGUUCCAAUAGCAAGAGGCCCUCCUAAGCCAGUCGGCAACACCUGA
rnacentral:rRNA from 1 species